ACUCCUCACGGGGAGGCAGCAGUGGGGGAAUAUUGCACAAUGGGCGCAAGCCUGAUGCAGCCAUGCCGCGUGUGUGAAGAAGGCCUUCGGGUUGUAAAGCACUUUCAGUUGUGAGGAAGGUGGUGUCGUUAAUAGCGGCAUCAUUUGACGUUAGCAACAGAAGAAGCACCGGCUAACUCCGUGCCAGCAGCCGCGGUAAUACGGAGGGUGCGAGCGUUAAUCGGAAUUACUGGGCGUAAAGCGCAUGCAGGUGGUUUGUUAAGUCAGAUGUGAAAGCCCGGGGCUCAACCUCGGAACUGCAUUUGAAACUGGCAGACUAGAGUAUUGUAGAGGGGGUAGAAUUUCAGGUGUAGCGGUGAAAUGCGUAGAGAUCUGAAGGAAUACCGGUGGCGAAGGCGGCCCCCUGGACAGAUACUGACACUCAGAUGCGAAAGCGUGGGGAGCAAACAGGAUUAGAUACCCUGGUAGGAUAGCGU
rnacentral:rRNA from 1 species